UCAUGUUGAAUUUGAGGUAUGUCACAUAUAAUUCUCAAAAGUGAGAGAAGUAGACUGCUCUGAUAUUGAUUAGUCCAGCCCAAAAGAAAACCCAAACUAGUAGCGGUUGGGCCAAGUCUAGCCCAUUCAAUGUCAAGCAGCACAAAACGAUGACGUUUCCUGUAACAAAGAACUUGAUCAAAGUUCAUCUCUUCCCCGAUAAAGCUUCACGAUGCCGAAAGCUCAGAACUGUGAAGUAAGGAUAUGCUAUCCUUUUCUGAAGGUUCUCCGUAAAAUUUCUGUUUUUCGUUUCAAUUUGAUACCCAUCUUUGCUCCUAGGUUUUUUCCCGUAAUUUUUUUCUAAUAGAAAAAUCGAUUCACGUGCAUUUUCUUAUGCUGCAAAUUUGAAAACAUGACCUAGAAAAUGGAAAUAAUCACUGGCGAAAUAGUUUUUUUAUUUAUUUCUAUAUUUACUCGUCGUUGUUGAUGAUAGUAACACUGUAAACAAUGAUUGUUUGAUUGAAUAAUUUGAUGAUUUCGAUUGUAGAGUAACACAUGAUUUAGUGUUGAAGUGUUGUCAAAUUGCAGCUAUUGUGGCGAUGUGACAUAGCAGAAUUUAAUAUAGAUUUCAACUUGUAAAGAACAAGCCUUGUUUGUAUUAUUUGGCAAAUCGGACAUAUGAACUAAAUGACUAAGAAGUAGCCAUUUUUGUUAAAAUAGCAAGGGUAUUGACAUAAUAUCCGGAACUGCAACAACAAAAAUGGCUACAUCUUAGUCUGACAAGGAAAAUGCAGAGCUCUUACUCGUUGGAAUGGAGGAGAGGAUGUCAUUAUGCCGUGCUUUCAGCCAGAGAAAAUUAGGUAAGCUAUGCAAUGUAUGAUUAAAGAAGUAUUUGGAAGAAAGAAAAUGAGUAAAUAGAUUGUUUCAGCUUGUAUUAGUGAAAAAUAUAACUGCUAUAGAAAUUUGAGUGGACGGAUUUCCUUACUGUUUUCCACAUUGAACAUUUAUCAUGAAUCUUAGGCCCUGUUUACUUUCUGAAAAAGUUUUCAUUUUUUAUCUUCUUAAAUAUAUAUUCGUUUUAAAUGGAAAACUCAUGUAGUGAGCAAUUAUGAUAGAAAGAAGAUGGAAGGGAAGUUAGGAGGAAUGUAUUUUUAGUAAUAAUGAAAACAAUGUUUUUCCAUUUUCAUAAUUUUUUAAAAGACUAGAUCUAUUUAAAAAAUUGUGAAAUAAAAUGACAAGGAAAGUAUUGAAUCUAUAUUCUCUUAUGGUUAUUAUUUGUAAUGAAAAUGAAAGCAGGGUAUUUGAGAAGUAAAUGGACCGGAAGUGUUUCUCAAUUAUGAAAGGGACAUUAAAUUUGAUUUUGUGGUUCUCGACGGUUCUAACAUUGUACAAAACAUUCAAUGGAUGUUGAAGAAACACUUCCUUGAAUCUGCAUCUGAUAUGCUAUUAUAGCCAGUGACUUUAAUAUCCAUGAUAGGAAUGAAUUCAUGUUGGCUGGCAUGUUAAUUUUUCAUUUUGAUUUUCAAAAACAAUGAAGUUUGACGAAAAUGAAUUUUUCAUUAUAUUUUUUUGAUAAAAAAUGCCUUGCUUUUGGUAAAUGGGCAAGUUACUUAUCCUGUUUCAUGCAGGUGACCAGGUAAUCUAGCAUACUCUUUAUCGUAUCAAUAGGAACUAGCUUAUUUUGUUUUGUGAACGAUACUGUUAUUAUUUUUUCUGUUUUUCAGUGCAAACUAUAAUUGAUGCUCAGCAAAACAUGCACUCCAAAAUCUCAAGAAAAAACUAUAAAAACAAAUUCCUAUUAAAUACUGUUUUACACAAUGAGACACAGGUGUUACGAAUCUAUAAUGCUCAACAACUGUAUUUUUGUUGGUUGUGAUAAGAUAUGUCUGUAGGGUCCAAAGACUGAAUAUACGAUAGUUCGUUAGAUUUGAAUUCCUCCAAAAGAUGGCAUUACAAAAGAAUUUCACUAGUGCAAAUACAUCUUUUCUUUCCCUGAAUGAAAUUAGAAGAAAACAUUUUCUGUUGGAGGAACUGGGAUCAUCAUCUAUAAUAUCUUUUUAGAUGAUGUUGAUUCAUUGAAUUGCUUUCCAAAACUUAUGUUGCAGCUUGACUGUACAAAAUACAUGGCUCUCUAUCACAAAACUCUUAAAACUUAAGAUUGAAACAAGAGAAAAAAACCAACCAACUGUUGCGAAGAACUAUUGAGAAUGCAGAUACAGCUCACUAUGUUUCUAUCCUGCUCUGCAUUUCCAAGCAUGGCACACUCUUCUGAAUGUUACCGGCUCAGCUUAGUUUUGCUUUCUCUCCUGGUCAAGGGAACAAGAUAUGUUAAGCCCUGUUGUGAAUAGGAUCUGACCCUUUUCGCACUCUUCUUUUGCUUGAUUGAUUUGGAUCAAGCCUGUUGUUGACAUUUGCUGAACUCUUCUUUGUAGGAACAGACACAUUGUUGACAUUUGCUGAACUCUUCUUUGUGUUCAACAAUUCCUUCUCUGGAGCUUUCAGAGUAUGUUGAUUCUGCAGCAUUAUCCUGUGCUCUUUUUGAUUCUGUUUUAAUGCAAUUUCUAAACUUCUCAGGCCUGAGACUUCGUUUGGUUGAAUAGAUAUUAAGAACCCGACAAAGAGAAGAAGAAUCAUUCUAGAAGGAUGGAACACCAUAUUUGCUUAACUCUAAAACAAGAAAUAGAAGGUAUGUUCUUUCUGUUUAGAGUGACACAAGACAAGAGAGUAAGCACCUAUCUGCUAGUACUAUCUGUUUUCUUAUGGUCCAUUCCUGUAGAUAUAAGCUUGUUAUAUAUGUCCCACUAGAUUUGGAGAGAGGCUUUAAAGCUUAAAGCAGAUGGGACCUACAUACAAGAAUUUUAGAUUCAUCUCGAAUCAGAAGCCUGAGAUUUUAACUAAUUAAGGCUGUUAUUUAAGAAUCUGACAAGAAUGAAUAAAGGGGUUGGGAUAAUAUCCUUGAGAGGCCAAGUAUCUUUUCUUUCAUUUCUUUCCCUACACAUCUAUCAUAUCAUAUGUAUGCUUUUUUCAAUAAAAGAAGCCAAACCUAGUCUCUUGGACCCUAGGCUAACUUGCCACAUCACACUUCUAUACUUGUGUACAUGGAUAAAUAUAUUUUACAUUCUUGAUUACAAGGGGAAAUAUAACAUGUUUCUUUAAUAUCAAGUAUAGGUUGAUUUUUUUAUUAAAAAAACGGUUAUAUUGCAUAAAAAAAAGAAUGUAAUAUCUAGGAUGAAAAAUUCUGAAAUUUCAUUUUGGUGACUCUAUAUCAUAUGGUAUAGUCAAAUACUUUUACAUUAUUUUUUUCCGGUAGAAACUGGGUAUCCUCUGCGUGCAACUGCAAAAAUUAAUCCCUAGAGUAGGGCUCUCAAGAAAAUUUAACACUGCUGCGUGCCCAAAGCUGACUAGGUUCGAACCCAGAACCUCUGGUUAAACUGGAAGAGAUCUCUUACCAUCUCAUCCAAGUAGUCGAGGGUUUAACUUUUACAGCCAAAAUAUUUUUCAUUUUGAAAUUUCUGAAUUGAUUCCAUAAUAAAAUUCAGGUCUUGAAUGGGGUUAAUAUGGUAAAGUACCAUUUCUUUGUGAUUAAGAAAGGGCUUAUUAAGCAUUAGUUGCUUUUAAUUGGAAUGAGGAAGCAGACAAAAAAAUGGGCCACCCAGAAGAUUGAGAUUAAAACAGUGCAAGAAGCUCAUAUAAAGAAUAUAAAUGUGGGAAUAGAACAGUCCCCAAAAGAAACAAACUAUUGCUUUAUGCACUUUACUAACUUCUAAGAUCUCCCCUUGUUGGCUUUAGAAUUCCAAGCUCUCUUCCCAAGUUAACAAAAAUGAAACAGUACUACUUGUUUUAUUGGGCUUAAUGUGUAUCUUUAUGCUUUGUUCUACUUUUAGAUGGGUUGCCAAGCCAUAUUUGUCCCUUCCAAAAUUUCAUGCCCUCUCUCUUCCUUAUUUUACUUUCUUUUUUAACUCAAAAUAUCACAUGCAGCUUGGAACUGUCCAAAGCAUAAAUUCCUCACUUUAUCACAACUAGGUGACAUCGGUUCUUAAGAUGAAGGGUGACUAGUCAUAGUUCUAGUGAAACAAACAGCCACUGCUUAAACAAUUUAUGUUCUCUCUCUCUCUCUUUUCUUUUUUUGAUUUUUGGUUUUUGUUUGUUACUUUUUUAUCAUCCAAUUAAAGUGAGAGUUGGUGUGACUUGUUGCUUUCUAUUUUUUUUUUCAUUUUUCAUCCUAACGUUUGAAACUUCCUUUUGAGUGUCACCUUGUUGCAAACCACAUCCCCUUAAAGAAUAUGCUUUUAUUCUCCAUCUGAAUAGUUGUUUACUUGCACUUGUAUCAUAACAUGUUGUGACAUGCCAAGGCAGGUUAACCAAAUUUUUGAAGUAUGGUUCUAGAUAGAACGUUAUGAUAAAAGUUGAUUCAUGUAGCUGAUCACAUUUAAUGGGAUAAGACUUGGUUGUUAUUGUUGUUGUUAUAAUUUGUAAGUAGCUCUGUAAGCGUUCUGUAUGCCUUAAGAUCUGCUCUGACCAUAAUGUUCUUUCAGAACCCAACUCACAUAAACUUUCUAUAACCAAAAAAUAACAUGUGACAUUCUAA